rnacentral:misc_RNA from 1 species
GACCAUUGAAUAUUCACAAUAAGACUUAUAUAUAUCACCCACUUGGCUACUAACAAGGAACUUUAAUAGUAAUCAAUGAAAUUCAAACUCAAUUAAAUAUGAGAUGUAUUAGAAGUUAAAUCCUCGGCUAUUAAUUCCAAAAAGAUUUAACUACUAAAAUCCAUCCUUUGUGGAUAAUUUUAACUAAAUUAUAAAGUUACAAUACUAAAAACGGUUUUAUUAUGCAUAAUUUCAUGUUAGUGUUAAAUUAUUAACAUAAAACAUAUACCAGGUUGAGGAAAAAAAAAAGCAGCCUAAUAGGCAAGGCAUUGGGGAAAAAAAAUUUUGAGGGACGUGAGAGUAAAAUGGAAGGAAAUGGUCAUAGAGACAGACAUCAUCUCGGAGUCUUAUGCAAGGAAAACGUCACCUUAGCCUGAAAGAACAGCGCAUUGGAUCGCUUGUCCAACAAAAGGUGCAAUUCCCGAUGUCACUUCACACAAUUAUCAUCCCCUCAACCAAACACGUUUUUACUCCAUUCUCCAUCUGGAAAGUGCCAAAUCACCAGCAGCUGGAUUCAAAAUGGAACACUGGACACUCGUCAAUCAUCAAAAUGGAACCUUGUUCUAAAACUCUAAAGAAAAAAAGGCAGUCGCCAAUCCACAUCCAGCCCAAUCCAUAUAAAGCCAUUCCAAAUCAAACCCAACUUAUUCCAAUAGUUGGUCACCUUCUCUCCUCUCCCCUGGUCUAAAGCCAUUUUCUCUGGGCUAUUUCGUAAAUAC